GCCAGGUGUGGUGGUGCACACCUGUAAUCCCAGCUACUUGGGAGGCUGAGGCAGGAGAAUUGCUUGAACCUGGGAGGUGGAGGUUGCAGUGAGCUGAGAUCGUGCCACUGCAUUCCAGCCUGGGUGACAGAGUGAGACUCUGACUCAA
rnacentral:SRP_RNA from 1 species